AGAGUUUGAUCCUGGCUCAGGAUGAACGCUGACAGAAUGCUUAACACAUGCAAGUCUACUUGAAUUUGGGUUUUUUAACUUCGAUUUGGGUGGCGGACGGGUGAGUAACGCGUAAAGAACUUGCCUCACAGCUAGGGACAACAUUUGGAAACGAAUGCUAAUACCUAAUAUUAUGAUUAUAGGGCAUCCUAGAAUUAUGAAAGCUAUAUGCGCUGUGAGAGAGCUUUGCGUCCCAUUAGCUAGUUGGAGAGGUAACGGCUCACCAAGGCGAUGAUGGGUAGCCGGCCUGAGAGGGUGAACGGCCACAAGGGGACUGAGACACGGCCCUUACUCCUACGGGAGGCAGCAGUGGGGAAUAUUGGACAAUGGACCGAGAGUCUGAUCCAGCAAUUCUGUGUGCACGAUGACGUUUUUCGGAAUGUAAAGUGCUUUCAGUUGGGAAGAAAAAAAUGACGGUACCAACAGAAGAAGUGACGGCUAAAUACGUGCCAGCAGCCGCGGUAAUACGUAUGUCACGAGCGUUAUCCGGAUUUAUUGGGCGUAAAGCGCGUCUAGGUGGUUAUGUAAGUCUGAUGUGAAAAUGCAGGGCUCAACUCUGUAUUGCGUUGGAAACUGUGUAACUAGAGUACUGGAGAGGUAAGCGGAACUACAAGUGUAGAGGUGAAAUUCGUAGAUAUUUGUAGGAAUGCCGAUGGGGAAGCCAGCUUACUGGACAGAUACUGACGCUGAAGCGCGAAAGCGUGGGUAGCAAACAGGAUUAGAUACCCUGGUAGUCCACGCCGUAAACGAUGAUUACUAGGU
rnacentral:rRNA from 1 species